UACCAGCACCCCGAGUGGUCGGGACGUUUUAUUGGGCCUAAAGCAUCGUAGCCGGUUCUGCAAGUCUUCCGUUAAAUCCACCUGCUUAACAGAUGGGCCGCGGAAGAUACUAUAGAGCUAGGAGGCGGGAGAGGCAAGCGGUACUCGAUGGGUAGGGGUAAAAUCCGUUGAUCCAUUGAAGACCACCAGUGGCGAAGGCGGCUGCCAGAACGCGCUCGGACGGUUGAGGGAUGAAAGCUGGGGGA
rnacentral:rRNA from 1 species